UACGAAGGGGGCUAGCGUUGCUCGGAAUCACUGGGCGUAAAGCGCACGUAGGCGGCUUGCUAAGUCAGGGGUGAAAUCCUGGAGCUCAACUCCAGAACUGCCUUUGAUACUGGCGGCCUUGAGUCCGGGAGAGGUGAGUGGAACUGCGAGUGUAGAGGUGAAAUUCGUAGAUAUUCGCAAGAACACCAGUGGCGAAGGCGGCUCACUGGCCCGGUACUGACGCUGAGGUGCGAAAGCGUGGGGAGCAAACAGG
rnacentral:rRNA from 1 species